rnacentral:rRNA from 1 species
UACGUAGGGUGCAAGCGUUGUCCGGAAUUAUUGGGCGUAAAGAGCUCGUAGGUGGCCUGUCGCGUCGGCUGUGAAAACUCGGGGCUCAACUCCGAGCUUGCAGUCGAUACGGGCAGGCUAGAGUUCGGCAGGGGAGACUGGAAUUCCUGGUGUAGCGGUGAAAUGCGCAGAUAUCAGGAGGAAUACCGAUGGCGAAGGCAGGUCUCUGGGCUGAUACUGACGCUCAUGCACGAAAGCGUGGGGAGCAAACAGG